UACGGAGGGGGCAAGCGUUGUUCGGAAUCACUGGGCGUAAAGGGCGUGUAGGCGGGAAGGAAAGUCAGAUGUGAAAUCCCUGGGCUCAACCCAGGAACUGCAUUUGAAACUCCCUUUCUUGAGUGUCGGAGAGGAAAGCGGAAUUCCUGGUGUAGAGGUGAAAUUCGUAGAUAUCAGGAGGAACACCGGUGGCGAAGGCGGCUUUCUGGACGACAACUGACGCUGAGACGCGAAAGCGUGGGGAGCAAACAGG
rnacentral:rRNA from 1 species